CAAAGUUGCCCCUUCCAAGGGCUGUGGGCUGGUUGGAGGGGGAGCCACUGGCCAGCUGGUCCCAACCGGUGCCCGGGCAGCAGAGAUGAGAGAAAUGGCAACAAAGGUCAGACACAGGGAGGGUUUGACCCGAGCAUCAAUAACCAGACUCCAUCGUAGGGGGAACGUUCAGAACAGCAACGACGACAGCAUCGCAUUUUAAAAGCACUCAGGUGUAGACACAGGACCACAUGCAUUAUAUUUUGAGGACUAUAUCCCUUCCCCACAAGAACAGCCUGGCUGGUCGAACUCACUCUUCCGAGGGGUGCUUGCUCCUUGCGGCUGCUUGCGGCGGGGGCAGCCCCCCUGGCCCACGGCCCCGCCGCGCGAACCGCCUCAAGCGCCGCUGCCUGAGGGCGGGUUUGGGUAUGGGGAAUGCACGUGUUAUUUUUUAUAAGGAGAAAACAAUACAGUGGACUUCAUUUUGGAAAAAUGAAAGUGUUUGGAGUUGGGAGCAGGGGUGUUAGCUGCUUCCGCAUAUGAAGGCUUCCUCCCUUUACCCUUGCCUCCCACUAGCCUAAGUUCCUGAGAAUCUAACUUGACCUUAGACUUUGCAUGUACUGUCUCUGUGCACCAUUUUGCUGUGGGCCAGUGAGAGAACAAGGUGAAAAGCAUUGUGUAAACCAUCAAUAAAAGUGCUAGAGAGAUGUAUCAGUUACUCUCAUGAUUCCUCUUUCUCCUUGGACUUGUCUAUCAGACCCCACCUAGUGUGCCUGCCUUGUCAGUCUGACCUGACAUUGAACCUAGUUCACUCUACCCACCCCCUGGUGUCCACCCUCGUGGAGCUCUCCCACAUGGCUGGCUCCAUCCCUGAGCAGCACAAAUCCUGCUGGUUGCCUUGUGCCAGGGAAAGCCCAGACCUGGCCUCAGGCCUUGGCUUUGCUCUGACUUGCUAUACGACCCUGGAAUAGUACUUCUGUUCUCUGGGCCUGUUUCCCUCUAUGUACAAAGUGGAAAUCUACCCUCUAGCUCCAAAAUUGCUGGAUUUCAGGGAAAGGAAUUUCCCUAGGAAUGAUGCCUCUGCUGUCCCUUCCCCUCAGCUGGCAGGGCUCACAACUCAGGCCUCUUCCACAGCUAGGAGACAGGGGGAGAGG